rnacentral:rRNA from 1 species
GACGAACGCUGGCGGCGUGCUUAAUACAUGCAAGUGGAGCGACGAACCAGGGCUUGCCCUGGGGCAGAGCCGCGAACGGGUGAGUAACACGUGGGUAACCUGCCUCGAUGACCGGGACAACCCGAGGAAACUCGGGCUAAUACCGGAUGUGCUCUCCUCACAUCAGUGGGAAGAGGAAAGGAAGCUUCGGCCUCCGCAUCGGGAUGGGCCCGCGGCCCAUUAGCUAGUUGGUGGGGAAUGGCCUACCAAGGCUUCGAUGGGUAGCUGUUCUGAGAGGAAGAUCAGCCACACUGGGACUGAGACACGGCCCAGACUCCUACGGGAGGCAGCAGUGGGGAAUCUUGCGCAAUGGGCGAAAGCCUGACGCAGCGACGCCGCGUGAGGGAUGACGGCCUCGGUU